rnacentral:piRNA from 1 species
UGUUCCAUUUUUUUCUUGCGUACCAAGGUG